AGGCUGUGAGGGAUGGUCCACCCAAGAGAAGCCUCAACAGUUUCCCCAAAUAAUUUCUGCAGGCUGGGACACCUGAGUGAAAUGAAGAAAUGGGAUUCAGCAGAGAGAAAUGUUAAGUCUGCCAGCUGGGGAAUGGAAUGAAAGAACAAACAGGAAAAUCUUAACCUGUACAGCCUCUUGGAUGAUGGGGUGGGAAGUAAGGACCUGCCCCCCAGUUUCCUGUUGCCUGGAAAAAUCUGGAAGAGCUCCUAGGGCUUUGGAGAAUGAAGGCACCCUUGUCUGGAUGCCACCGCAGCUUCCUCCCUCUCACCCCUUCCUCCUCCACCUCCUCCUCCUCAUCUUCAGCCCAGCAAGGCCAGAUUUGUCUUGCAAAGUGGCAUCAUUAUAAACGCAUCAGCCUCCUCUGGACGCCUGAGCCUGCUACCUAGCCAGCCCAUCCAGGCUCCAUUACAUCUGAGGCUGUCUGGGUCUCCUUUGCUUUUAGGUUGGUCACAUGACUCACUCCAGCAAAUGGGAUGUGAGCAGAAGGUAUAUAUGUUACCUG